rnacentral:rRNA from 1 species
GUAGGUGGCAAGCGUUGUCCGGGAAUUAUUGGGGCGUAAAGCGCGCGCAGGCGGUUCUUUAAGUCUGAUGUGAAAGCCCACGGGCUCAACCGUGGAGGGUCAUUGGAAACUGGAGAACUUGAGUACAGAAGAGGAAAGCGGAAUCCCACGUGUAGCGGUGAAAUGCGUAGAGAUGUGGAGGAACACCAGUGGCGAAGGCGGCUUUCUGGUCUGUAACUGACGCUGAGGCGCGAAAGCGUGGGGAGCAAACAGGAUUAGAUACCCUGGUAGUCCACGCCGUAAACGAUGAGUGCUAAGUGUUAGGGGGUUUCCGCCCCUUAGUGCUGCAGCUAACGCAUUAAGCACUCCGCCUGGGGAGUACGGCCGCAAAGGCUGA